CAGUAAGUGGAAAGAUUUGAUUGAUUGCAACCACGGGAAAAAAUGCUAAACCAAAAAUC
rfam:Bacteroidetes bacterium CG2_30_33_31 cg2_3.0_scaffold_301_c, whole genome shotgun sequence.